rnacentral:rRNA from 1 species
GGGAAUAUUGCACAAUGGGGGAAACCCUGAUGCAGCGACGCCGCGUGAGUGAAGAAGUAUUUCGGUACGUAAAGCUCUAUCAGCAGGGAAGAUAAUGACGGUACCUGACUAAGAAGCCCCGGCUAACUACGUGCCAGCAGCCGCGGUAAUACGUAGGGGGCAAGCGUUAUCCGGAUUUACUGGGUGUAAAGGGAGCGUAGGUGGCAGGGCAAGUCAGAUGUGAAAACCCGGGGCUCAACCCCGGGAGUGCAUUUGAAACUGUCCAGCUGGAGUGCAGGAGAGGUAAGCGGAAUUCCUAGUGUAGCGGUGAAAUGCAUAGAUAUCACGCAGAACUCCGAUUGCGAAGGCAGCAUACCGGCGCCCUACUGACGCUGAGGCACGAAAGCGUGGGUAUCGAACAG